GUGGUUUAAUUCGAUGCAACGCGAAGAACCUUUACCUGGUCUUGACAUCCACGGAAGUUUUCAGAGAUGAGAAUGUGCCUUCGGGAACCGUGAGACAGGUGCUGCAUGGCUGUCGUCAGCUCGUGUUGUGAAAUGUUGGGUUAAGUCCCGCAACGAGCGCAACCCUUAUCCUUUGUUGCCAGCGGUCCGGCCGGGAACUCAAAGGAGACUGCCAGUGAUAAACUGGAGGAAGGUGGGAUGACGUCAAGUCAUCAUGGCCCUUACGACCAGGGCUACACACGUGCUACAAUGGCGCAUACAAAGAGAAGCGACCUCGCGAGAGCAAGCGGACCUCAUAAAGUGCGUCGUAGUCCGGAUUGGAGUCUGCAACUCGACUCCAUGAAGUCGGAAUCGCUAGUAAUCGUGGAUCAGAAUGCCACGGUGAAUACGUUCCCGGGCCUU
rnacentral:rRNA from 1 species